GGAGCGUGCCGUACGGCACGCUCCGG
rnacentral:misc_RNA from 1 species